rnacentral:rRNA from 1 species
UGGGGAAUUUUGGACAAUGGGGGGAAACCCUGAUCCAGCCAUCCCGCGUGUGCGAUGAAGGCCUUCGGGUUGUAAAGCACUUUUGGCAGGAAAGAAACGUCGUGGGUUAAUACCCCGCGAAACUGACGGUACCUGCAGAAUAAGCACCGGCUAACUACGUGCCAGCAGCCGCGGUAAUACGUAGGGUGCAAGCGUUAAAUCGGAAUUACUGGGCGUAAAGCGUGCGCAGGCGGUUCGGAAAGAAAGAUGUGAAAUCCCAGAGCUUAACUUUGGAACUGCAUUUUUAACUACCGGGCUAGAGUGUGUCAGAGGGAGGUGGAAUUCCGCGUGUAGCAGUGAAAUGCGUAGAUAUGCGGAGGAACACCGAUGGCGAAGGCAGCCUCCUGGGAUAACACUGACGCUCAUGCACGAAAGCGUGGGGAGCAAAACAGGAUUAGAUACCCUGGUAGUCCACGCCCUAAAACGAUGUCAACUAGCUGUUGGGGUCUUCGGACCUUGGUAGCGCAGCUAACGCGUGAAGUUGACCGCCUGGGGAGUACGGUCGCAAGAUUAAAAACUU